CAGCAGCUGGUCCCCGAUUUGGUGAGUUCCAACAAACUCACAUGUUCUUUCUGGCUCAAUUUUGUUGCUGUAAUUCAUCUCUACACCUUGAUUUUGUUGCUCAAAGUUGAGUUUGUUGCUGAAAAUCAUCACCGAACAAAUUAAAUUUGUUGCA